rnacentral:lncRNA from 1 species
GCUUCGAAGGAAAUUACAAGUCUAUUGAGGCAGAAAAUGCCGUGCUUUGUUGGCCAAUUGUCUCUAUUAUUGAGGAAGUACUAUUAAUACCUCGACAGGAAGUCAAAUUUGAUAUGUAUGUACUUUAAGUUCGCGUGCCAGGCAAAGAUUAUCUAUAAUAGUUUGCACUCAUUAUUUUUUACAUGUUUAAUGUGUUGCAGCUGGCUGAUGCAAGUGGUUCGACGUUUUACAGACACCUAAACUGCGUAAAACGAUACGAGCUAACGCGUGGAUUAUGUGGAGAGAAGAUUGGAAAUCACAGAACUUCAAUGGAUUUCGUGCUGAAAGCCUGAUUCACCAGCAUGUCUCAAGCAGCGAUAUUUGAAUAAACAAAACUUGGAGUUUUUUUACGGCAUCAGUAUAAAUUCUGACGCGCUGUCUCGGUUAGAUCUCGUACAAGGCCGUUCGUAAAAUUUGGUCAAGGAAGGCAGCUGGCUUAAUUUGAAUUAAAG